rnacentral:rRNA from 1 species
AUGCCGCAGCCUCAAUCCACGAUCAUCUCCCAUGUGAAUUGUGUAGUCUUUCUCCUGACCCCCUGUUUCUUCUUAUUUCACGUGGACGCCCUCUGUUUCCUCUUUUGCUUCUCCCCCGACGACUUCUCUUCUUCCCCCACGACUGAGUUCGAAUAUCAGAAGAAUCAGGCGCAUCAACAAGAGAGCGCAUCGACGAACCCUAAUCCGACGUCUGCUGCAUCGACUGCGUCUCCUGUGUUCUUCUUCCUCCGUCGCAUGAUGGAUUCGUCUGCACACGAAGGAGGUGGGGUUGGCCAAGUUCAAGAACCAGAAGGGGACGAACCAAUUGAAUACCCUCCACGAGGCCGACUUAGGUGCUUUUUGGUCUUACCAGAUGUUUUGUCUAUUCACUUUAGCAAUGAUCCCCAAGUGAAGGCAGAGGUUACAGAGUUAAGGAACAAGUAUGUAGAUCAUCGGAACAAAAUGCCGAUCAACAAAAUAGAGGAGGUGAAGCUUAGCGAUGAGACAGAAGAUGGAUUUAUUAGGAGCUUUGCAUUUUAUUUCCUAUCAUCUAUUUUGUGCCCUGCAUCAUACUGCUUUGGUAACAUGAAGUUCUUAUACUCUCUAAGAGAUGUUUCUGCUAUCCCUUCACUUGACUUUGGGAAAUUGGCACUGGAUUUCAUGCGUGAGGAGUCAGAGCGUCAUUUUGAAAUGAUCAUGAAUAGAGCAAGUGUUGAGGAAAUGAACAAGGCUUCAUAUAUUGGGGGAUGUCUUCCUAUUUGGGGACCGCGAGACAUAUCACGCACGCCAUAUGCCAAUGUGGUGCCUGUUAACAAUGCUCCUAAUGUUGCUGGUGUGUCUAAUUCAAUUCCUUCUGUGGAGGACAACAAUGCCAAUAGUGUUCCUGCAGCUCUCAAUGAGAACACGUCAAGUGAUUCAAAAAGUCCUCUUAUCAUUUCGGAAGUUCCUAGUUGCACUGCAAAAGUUGAACCAGAUAUAAAAUUUAAACUAGAGCCACAUUUGAAAUCGGAGGUUCCCUCCAAUGAUGUAGUUAAGAACGAGCCAAUCAGACCGAAAUUUGAGAACAUUUCUGUCCUGAAUUCGGAGUACCAAACACCAAUUUUCCCUGUCAAUGCUACACCUCUGAAUACCAACCCUGUUGAGCAUCCUACUACUUCACAACCUAAGGUUGAUUCUCCUGUCACUCCUGCUGUUGCGACUAAUGAAGACAUACCAGUCUCUCACUGUGAUGCAAGUGUAGGAAUCCCAAUGAACAUGGACUUUGAUGUCCAACAAGACUAUUCUACAAUGAACAAUGCAGAAGCUGGAACGACGAGGGGUGAGAUUGGAGAUGAAGUGAUGAACUCAUUUAUUCGAGUUCUCAACUAUGAAUCAAAGAUGUCAUCUGAAGUAAAGCCUUAUGUCAAGAAGUACUGUUUCACUUCGUACUUCACUUUAUACUUCCCUAUUAUAAAAUCAAACCACUGGGUUAUACUUUCCAUCAACUCUCUCUUUGAGAGAUCUCACUUUUUCGAUCCAUGUGGCACCAUUCUGGGAACUACCCAACAAGAACUUGUCUACAACUUGCUUUCCAACUACAACAUGCUUUGCAAGCUGAGUAAAAAGCCAUUCAAGAAUGUUUUCUCUUUCAAACUUGAACCUGUGGGACCUUACCCAACAAACUGUCUAAUGCAUGACUCAGGCCACUAUCUGCCUUUGUACAUUGAAAACUUCGAAGGCAAAUCUAUGAAGACUUUCAGUGCGGCCAACAUUCCGAAGUACAGAAUGAUAUCUGCGUUCAAUUUAUUCAAAAGCACUUUGAACAAGCUGAAGGAAGAAGAUCUACCAAUAGCAAAUUGA